rnacentral:misc_RNA from 1 species
AGUUGACAAAGAAUAUAACUUUCUACAUGUGGUUGAAUUGAAAAUCAUACUGCAACAGAAUGCUUCUUGACAAUAUCCUUUAGUAAAACCACUUUCACACUUGGCCAAUAUGUUUGUUGCUCCAAUAUGUUUGUUACUGCUGUUCCCCUUGGACUAAGGCCCAGGAGCUACACUCUUGUGGAUCCAUAAAUUCAUUGGAAGCUGAAAUAUGAACAGUAAACGAUUUGCACAACAGAAGAAAGCAUCCACUGCCAAUGAUCUCCGUGGUAUUAUUACCGCAAGUCAUUUGCAAGACUGAGGAAUGGGGUUUCCAACAAUCUCCAGUUUGAGUUUCAAUUAUAUAUCUGUAUAUAUAUAUAUUGAAAGAAGGUAUCCACUACGUGCUACGGCAAGUUGCUUUGGGCUUGUACUAGGACAAUUUGGUGUAAAGUCUAAUCAAGGGGAAGAAAAGCAAUAUACAGAAUACAGGGGGGAGGAGAUAAGCUCCCUAAAUGUUGUCGGCAGAUACUCUUCGUCUUCGAGUGCUAUCUUCCCUUAGAAGAGAGAUCUUGACAAUUUAGGUGAAACUCAAUUUUUUAUGCAUUUGAACGUCAGAUCUUGACAUUUUGAAAUGCCUAUGUUAUUAUAGAUUUGACCAUUAACAACAAAGAGGCAUACAAACCCAGAACUCUCCAAACGAUAGUUAGACCAUGACAUGACAUCUUUGGGGGAGAAAAAUAGAGAACAAGAACAUAUGAUAGAGCGAACUUUAUUCUUCUUGUAGAGAGAGGAACAA